UACGAAGGGGGCUAGCGUUGUUCGGAAUCACUGGGCGUAAAGCGCACGCAGGCGGAUCGAUAAGUCGGGGGUGAAAGCCCGGGGCUCAACCUCGGAAUUGCCUUCGAUACUGUCGGUCUCGAGUCCGGGAGAGGUGAGUGGAAUUCCUAGUGUGGAGGUGAAAUUCGUAGAUAUUAGGAAGAACACCAGUGGCGAAGGCGGCUCACUGGCCGGGUACUGACGAUCAGGUGCGAAAGCGUGGGGAGCAAACAGG
rnacentral:rRNA from 1 species